UUGAUAACACUGGAGACUGAAGUCCAUUAUUUAUCUGUAAGAUAGUUACAGCAUGGGCAGCAGCACUGCAAGCUUACCACUUCCCCCACAGUCAUAGACCUUUAACCCUGAUUCAAUAGGAUCAUCUUUAGAAGCAAGAAAGUAGGUCCGUUUCCAUGCCAAUAUGAUCUUUUGACUUUC
rnacentral:sRNA from 1 species